rnacentral:rRNA from 1 species
UCGAGAAUUUUUCUCAAUGGGCGAAAGCCUGAAGGAGCGACGCCGCGUGGGGGAUGAAUGGCUUCGGCCCGUAAACCCCUGUCAUUUGCGAACAAACCUCGUGAUUUAACAGAUGACGAGCUGAUUGUAGCGAAAGAGGAAGGGACGGCUAACUCUGUGCCAGCAGCCGCGGUAAUACAGAGGUCCCAAGCGUUGUUCGGAUUCACUGGGCGUAAAGGGUGCGUAGGUGGUUGGGUAAGUCUGAUGUGAAAUCUCCGGGCCUAACCCGGAAACUGCAUCGGAUACUAUUCGACUGGAGGGUUGGAGGGGGGACUGGAAUACUUGGUGUAGCAGUGAAAUGCGUAGAUAUCAAGUGGAACACCAGUGGCGAAGGCGAGUCCCUGGACAACUCCUGACACUGAGGCACGAAAGCUAGGGGAGCAAACGGGAUUAGAUACCCCCGUAGUCCCUGAGCGGGCUGGCAAGGCGCAU